UAGAGGAAAAGCUACCCUCGCUCUUCAACCCUGGGGACCCAGACGCCUUUCACCAGAAAUACACUGUGAGCAUGGACUUUGUGCAGAGGUUUGAGCGGCAGUGUGGAUCCCAGGCCAGCGUAAAGCGACUUCGAGCACACCCUGCCUAUCACAACUUCAGCAAUAAGUGGAACCUGCCUGUUUACUUUCAGAUAAGGUUCCGAGAAGUGGCAGGAUCCCUGGAAGCAGCCCUCACAGACGGGCUCGAGGACGCCCCAGGUAAGCUCGGCAGGAGACAGCAGGUGUCCCAGGUCUGAGCAUAGUCCUGCCUCUUCCCACCACACAGGGAUUUGUGCAGUAAGGACACUGGCUUAACAUCUUAAAAAAACAAAAAACCAUGACCCCAUAACAUGCUAAGCAAGCACUCUGCUAGUAAGCUAAGUUCUCAGACAUUUUACUUUUUUAUGCAACAAAUAGAAAGCAGUCUUGGUUCAUUGAAUUUCUUGCUUUAGAGAGAUGGUGGCAAAGGAUGCUUUAUAAAGUUACAAGCAGGCCUUUUCCUCCUGGUGCGUGCGACAUGUCAGGGCUGUGCUCCUGUGUGCGGUCGCUGUGCCCUCCAGACUCUGUGAUCAGCUCUUGAGAUUGGGCACGUUUGUGUGAAAUGGCUGUACAUUCAAUCAGCUAUCUGUAGACUCUGCAGUUCACCUUCCUUCCUGCCACCAACCCAGCUAUGGGAAGGCAGCACAUGGUCUGCAUGCUCCUGUCCCCUCCUAAGAACGACUCGGUUGGAACACAGCCCAGGCUUCUUGGGGCUCUGGGCAGAUGGCAGCUGCAGGUGUUGAGACUCAUGACACCAUUCUUGGUAGCCAUUGAGAUACAUAAUAUUUCUGAGGCACACAGGUUCCAAGUUCUCUGGCUAUGACACAGCCAGGUCUAUCCUGAAACCCCUCAUUGAGUCAUGGAGCUGCCUCUUCUGUCCAUCUGUAAGGAUUGACCUCCUCUGUGUGCGUAGGAGCCAAACUGAGGUCGGGAAAAGUAAAAACUGAAAUGCAAGCUUGCACGCUGCCACACACCAUUGCCAUUGCGUGUGCUGUGUGGUAGAAAGCACCGUUAAGACAGGUGAGCAUCGUGUUUGAUGCUAACUCCCAUGCCUGGAACCUGUCAGGUGAGUUACCAAACAUCACAGUGAAGACCCGAGGCCUUGGGCUGUUCUAGCAACUCUGUUGGCCGCAGGUCCACAGCAUGCCCUGUUCUUUACUUUGAGUUAUGUGCCAAUGCCUAGAGUUAGAUGGCAGCCAUAACGGGACAGUGUGCCCUCAGUCCAUGCUUUUUCUCCAGCUGGAAGUCCGUAUUGCCUUUUGGCUUCUCACAGAACAUGGAUCAGCCUGGGCAAAUGCUGGUCCGAUGAGAUGUUCCUACCUUUGUUGGCACACCGUCUGUGGAGGCUCACGCUGCAGAUUCUGGCCAGAUUCUCUGUGUUUGUCAGUGAGGUGAGUGGGCACCAUGCAGCCUCCUCUACCCAGCUAGCACUGGGAGGACCAGGAGGGGCUGUGGCUAAACACACACAGGACAUCCAGAGUGUCCUGUUGGGUCAGAUCCAGCAGUGGGCACCUGGCCACAUGCUCAGGGUUAAUUACUGAGAAUUCCCAUCCUAGUGACUUUCUCAAAAUCAGAUUCCUAAAGCACCCUGAAAAUAAAAUGUUCAUUUUAAUGAGAAAUAUU
rnacentral:lncRNA from 1 species